UGGAGAGAGAUGGGGCCGGGGAAGAGGCCGGGUAGAUCUGCUGCCUGACUCGGUUGCCAGGGGCUACCUGUUGCUAAAGUGUAACUGUGUGUGUGUGUGUGUGUUCUCUCCGUGCAGAUAAAAAAUGCUGCGGCCAACGUUCUGAGGGAGACUUGGCUCAUCUACAAACACACCAAACUACAGAAYAAGAUUGACCACUCCAGAGUCCGCAAACACCAGAGGAAGUUCCUGCAGGCCAUCCACCAACUGCGUAGUGUGAAGAUGGAGCAGAGGAAACUGAGUGAUCAGGCCAACACUCUGGUGGACCUCUCAAAGAUGCAAAGUGUGAUGUACGAGCUGAUGUCGGAGCUGAACGAUCGCAGUGAGGACCUGGAGCGGCAGAUGCUGUCUCUGGAACGCGGGUGGAACAGCUGACGCCGGCUUCUCAGUGCC